UACGUAGGGCGCAAGCGUUAUCCGGAAUUAUUGGGCGUAAAGAGCUCGUAGGCGGUUUGUCGCGUCUGCUGUGAAAGACCGGGGCUCAACUCCGGUUCUGCAGUGGGUACGGGCAGACUAGAGUGCAGUAGGGGAGACUGGAAUUCCUGGUGUAGCGGUGAAAUGCGCAGAUAUCGGGAAGAACACCUAUGGCGAAGGCAGCUCUCUGGGACGGUACUGACGCUGAGACGCGAAAGCGUGGGGAGCGAACAGG
rnacentral:rRNA from 1 species